GAGCUCACUUUGGCAGCACAUACACUAAAAUUCAAACGAUACGGAGACAAUUAGCCUGGCCCCUAAGCAAGGAUGACA
rnacentral:snRNA from 1 species